UACGUAGGGGACAAGCGUUGUCCGGAUUUACUGGGCGUAAAGGGCACGCAGGCGGUUUUUUAAGUCAGAUGUGAAAGGUACCGGCUCAACCGGUGACAUGCAUUUGAAACUGAUGGGCUGGAGUUCUGGAGAGGGUGGCGGAAUUCCCGGUGUAGGAGUGAAAUCCGUAGAUAUCGGGAGGAACACCAGUGGCGAAGGCGGCUUGCUGGACAAAUACUGACGCUGAGACGCGAAAGCGUGGGGAGCAAACAGG
rnacentral:rRNA from 1 species